GACGAACGCUGGCGGCGUGCCUAAUACAUGCAAGUUGAGCGAUGAAGAUUGGUGCUUGCACCAAUUUGAAGAGCAGCGAACGGGUGAGUAACGCGUGGGGAAUCUGCCUUUGAGCGGGGGACAACAUUUGGAAACGAAUGCUAAUACCGCAUAACAACUUUAAACAUAAGUUUUAAGUUUGAAAGAUGCAAUUGCAUCACUCAAAACUGAUCCCGCGUUGUAUUAGCUAGUUGGUGAGGUAAAGGCUCACCAAGGCGAUGAUACAUAGCCGACCUGAGAGGGUGAUCGGCCACAUUGGGACUGAGACACGGCCCAAACUCCUACGGGAGGCAGCAGUAGGGAAUCUUCGGCAAUUGACGAAAGUCUGACCGAGCAACGCCGCGGGAGUGAAGAAGGGUUUCGGAUCGUAAAACUCGGUUGGUAGAGAAGAACGUUGGUGAGAGUGGAAAGCUCAUCAAGUGACGGUAACUACACAGAAAGGGACGGCUAACUACGUG
rnacentral:rRNA from 1 species